rnacentral:SRP_RNA from 1 species
GCUGGGCAUGAUGGCUCAGGCCUGUAAUCCAAGCCCUUUGGGAAGCUGAGAUGGGAGAAUCACUUGAGCCCAGGAGUUCAAGAUCAGCCUGGGCAAUAUAGUGAGACCCCAUCUCUA